CGCAGCCUAGGUGGGAGGCAUUGAAGAUUUCCUUCCGGGGAAGUUGGAGCCAUCAUUGAGAGACCACUCUGGAGAGGCUAGAAUCCUAAUGGUGAUCCCUGAAUCGGGACACUUGACAGUUUCAGGUGGGCAGUUUUUCUGGGGCGGAAGCCUUAACUAGGAGGGCAGCACUGUAGUAAUGCAGUGCUUAAACUUAGCUAAAGUGCUGAAAGUGCUUACAAUUCUGUUUUGCUAAUCAGCAAGGUCUUGUUGAGAAAAAUGAUUGUUUUAUGUGAAUAAAACACAUGUUGUUUUCAACAACCCUACAACGACUUCAUGCUAAAAAGCUAUUCUUUUAAAUUACAAAAUUAGAGCUUUGUGAUAAAGUCUGAGCUAUUAUGGAAAUAAUAGAUUUCUUUAUUUCUCUAAAUAAAGAAAGCUAU
rnacentral:rRNA from 1 species